CGAGGCGUAGCGCAGUCCGGUUAGCGCACUUGACUGGGGGUCAAGGGGUCGGGAGUUCAAAUCUCCCCGCCUCGA
rnacentral:tRNA from 1 species